CACGCAGGAGGAGCGGAGGAGGAGGAGAGGGAGGAAUCUAGGCAAAGGACGGGAGGAGGAGUCGUGGAAGAGAGUAGGCAGAGAAAGGGAGGAGGACGGGAAGUCUGAUAAUCGCUAGUGUCAAAAAGGCGCGCGCCGGCUCGGCCCGUUUCGACCCUAAAAUUCGGGCCAAACUUUUUAUCCUCCCCCGUCAUUUUCAUCGUCAUCAUCUCCGUCAUCUCCCUCGUGGAAUCCCCUUUACGAAACCAGAGCCGCGAUUGGCCCCGCGCCACGACGAUCGCCUCGAGCGGAAAGGUCGAAGCUUCGUCACCCGGAUCUCCAUUCCCCCGUUUCUUGAAGAUCGGCAUGGCGACACCGGAUGUCCUGCAGAGCCCAGAUGAGCUCCUCCUGCAAUCUCCCAUCGGCGACGCUCCUCGCGCGGGCGAGAAUCCCAAGUCUCGGGGGCUGUCGAUCGAGAAGGAGAUUGAGUUCCUGGAGAGUUUGACUGGAGCGGUGAGUGAGUACAUUGAGUGAUAAGUGGAGGCAGAAUUCGAGCGUGAAUAUGCAGUUUUUGGGUGUCUUCAUUGUUUGUUUGUCGAUUGGGAUCUGUUGUGUGUCGAGACUGGUUGGCAAGUUCACGUUCCCGUUCUUGAUCAAGUCGUGUGCAGGGUUGGCGAGCGAAGACCUGGGUAUGCAUGUGCAUGCCCAUGUGUGUAAAUUCGGGCCUGCAGGGCACCUGGUGUUGGAGAAUUCGUUGAUAGACAUGUAUGCAAAAUUCGGGAAUUUGGAAGGUGCAUAUAAGGUGUUUGGCGAUAUGCCUCAAAGGGAUGCCAUCUCGUGGAAAUGUCUUAUUUCCGGGCAUGUUAGGUUGGGAGAGAUGACGAGGGCGAGAGAAUUGUUUGGUGUGAUGCUGUGCAAGACUGUCGUCUCUUGGACAAAGGUGAUUUCCGGGUACUCUCAAGUCGGCAGUUAUGUCAAUGCCCUGGAAGUUUUUAGGCAAAUGUAGAUGGUUGGUGUUGAACCUGAUGAGAUAAGUAUUGUAUCCGUCUUGCCAGCUUGUGCACACCUAGGAACUCUCGAAGUUGGGAAGUGGAUUCACAUGCAUGCAGAUUAGCACCGGCUUCUCCACAGGCUUCUCCACACCUAUGUGCACACAGGACUUGUAUAUGCAAAAUGCAGUUGCAUCGAGCAAGCGAGCCGUUUGUUCAAUGAGAUGAACAAGAGGGAUGUUAUUUCUUGGAGCACAAUGAUUUGCAGUUUAGCCAAUCAUGAAAAGUUGAGUGGGAGCCCAAAAAA